GUUGAACAUUUAUUGAGAUCAAGUUGUAGAUGUGAACAGUGAGACAGUGUGUGCUGCGUUUCAGCAGUGGUGGCAGCGAAUCACCUCCACCAGCACAGAUUUUGAUGAGUGUGGCAUGCAGGCUCUUGUUCAUUGUGAAAAUGCACAGCUAAUAGUGGUGACUACGUUGAAAAGAGUGUUUUGCAGCUAAGAUCUUGCUCUAUCAAAUAGUGUUAUUGUGCUCUUUGUAUCUGUUAUCGUUUCCAUGGAAAUAAUAAGGAGGCAUUACUUUCAAAGAGACUUAUGUAUAUCUUAAACAGUUGUUAGAAAUUAGAAAAAAAAAAGCAGUUUCUUUCUUUCCUUGCAAGAUUUGUUCUGGCUGGAAACAGGCCCAUGAAAUACAUCAUUAAUUUAUGAAGUUGGCAGAACUAAUUUCAAUCCUAUCAAACUUGUGAGGCAGAGGGAAGAAGAAACAAAUGACCCAGUGUUAACAAAGAACCUACCAUAUACAUUCAGAAGUUGGAGAGCAUUUUCUUUCCUUAUUUGCACCAAAAAUACUGCUAUCUGUACCCACAUAUAACAUCCAUCAUCCCUAAAGAUGUCUUUAUAAGUUCCCAUCUCCCACAGAAAAGCCAAAAACUGCAAUAAGAUGAGAGGGACGCCAACAUAUAGACUGACAAGGGUGCAGAGUUUGCUUGACAAGACUGGAAUUUGAAAGAGGAGUGACUGGGCCACACAUUUUCUUAACAUGUCCGUUUACUAACCACCAAAGGUUAAACUCAGCUAAAACCUAGGAAGCUAGAGAGCUGCUGAUUUCUGAAGUGGCUCUUCCAUGUAGCUGCAGAGAAUACAGCACCACUGUCAGAAUGUAACAUACUUCAUACAGGGAACCAUGGGAGGACACUGAGGAGACAGCAAACUGUCAUCUGCUUGUGGGGGGAAAAAAAAAAGCAAAAAUACCCAAACAAAUAAUUGCAUUCUGAGUAUCAGAAAGAGCAAAACAGAGAAAACAGUAGUAUAGCAUGCAAAAGACAGCAUUGAGGAAAUAUGAGAUGGCGAUCUAAAUACACAGCCCCACAGCUGAGCCCACUGAAGUCACCUUGUGAAGCUCCCUCCACCAUCAAGGUGUGUUUGGUUACAGGUGGCUCUCGCUGGUUGUCUUUUGCGAAGUACAAUUCUAUAGCAGAACAACACAAAGUUUCUAGAGUCUAAAUCACAACUGUUCUCAUUUUGCAUCUUAUUCUGCUCCAAGUUCAAUUCGUCCAGGUGAACCCCAGCUAUGCAAGUCUUCUCUCCUUCUGAACGAGAAACAAUCCAGAAAAGAAAUCUUUCUUGAGUUAAUGGAGGAAACUGAACUAAAUCACAUUCAUCAAAGUAUUUAUUAUACAUCUAGGCCAGAUGAAGCUUAGGUGUUAGGAAAAGUAGAAAAACAAAACAGAUUCACAAGUUUCUUAACAAUUUAAAUUAAGCUACUAAAGUAACAGAGAAACGAGUUGCUGGCAAUAGCAACAGAUAUCUAUCAAUUCCAGCUUGCUGCUUACAGCAACACACAUGGAUUGAAAAGCAGUUGGCUCUAAGUUCUCAUAGAUAUCCUCAAGCUGAGGGAUUGUUAAAUUGUAAUCAAUGUGAAUACAUAACCCCCAACGGGCACUGCAUUACUUUUGUGGCUGCUGAUUUCAUAAACUGUUUUCAGGUUUUUUUUUUGCAAUGAAAGACAUUGCAUAUAACUACAAGGGAAAUAAAAAAAAAGACAACUGCAACCUCCAGGCCUGAUCCUGUGCAAACUGAGCAUUCUUUGACAACUCAGCAGUUCAUGGGGGAUCAUCAGCACAUUGCAGAUGUGAGCCCAGUAUUAAGAUAUAAUUUGCAAGAAAUAACUUGAAGUUAUACCAUAGAGAUCUAUCAGUUCAGGGAAGAUUGUGGGCAGAAUCCUUAAAAUGAAAUGAAAUCACAGAAUUAAAAAAUUUAAGCAUAAAAACCAUUAAGUCAUCCAGGUCCAUUUACAAUUAUUGAUAGUAAAUCCAUCUACUCCAGAUGGGAAAAGGUCAGUCUCUUAUUUUUCCAGGGCAAGUCUAUGAAUAUUUUGAGUGAUCAAAGCUCAAGGCAGGUGUGAAAAUGAAAACGACCAGGAAAGCAUAUGGGUGAGAAACCAUGGUCACAUGAAGAUAACACAGCUUGCCUCCUGAUAUCAAACAAAGGCACCCUCCAUUCUCCCCAGUCCAUACAGAACAUAAAAUACAGAAGAGUUCAUAUGUUUUUCUUUUUUUUUUCUUUUUUUUUCUUUUUUCCCCUAAAAGAGUUGUCACUUUUUAAAGCGCAUUGAAAUCUUAUUUUUACUUUUUAGGUUUACUCUUCCUUCUUCUAUCAUAGAUGACCUAAAUUUUGAGCUGAAGCAUUCACAAGAUGCUUGCUGGGAAUAUAAAACAACAGCAAAAACAUCAGGCUGCAAAAGAAGCAAAAUAACAGGAGGGAAAAUUACAGUGAAGACCUCCCUGACUAACAGGAGGUCACAAACACUGCAGAAAUAGAUGCUGAAGUAGUACUAUCCAGAGACAGUGGACACAAAGUGAUUGCAUUUACACAAACCUAGUUGAAGACAGGUGGGAAGGGUGCAAAGCUAAGCUGAGCAAAUGGUGACAGUUCUGGGAACACCCAACAUUUCUCAAAAUUUCCCCUCAAAUACAUCACUCUAUUCCUUGUACAAAAACAUCAGAGACACGGACAUCCCAAAGACUCCUGGUGGAAAAACAAAGGAACAAACAGAAACCUCAAAACCCCACAAAAUUUGAAAGCUCACUAGGAAAGUAAUGGAAUUAUCCAACUACAGACAGGUGGGGAGGCUAUACAUCUGUAUGUUAUAAGCCAAACAGAAAAAUGUACAGAAUAAACAUACACAACUGGGUACUCAGCACUAUAGACUAUGGAAGAUUCAUGCAGCUCACUAUUAAGGAAGAAAAAAAAGAGGCCAUUGCAUUUUACUUUGUUUUUGUCAAUUCCAGUUUAAACAGACAACAGAAACUAAGAUUAUAAUCUGUGCCUUUUUAAAAUUCCAUUCAGCAGAUGUUCAUAAACAGACUUGAGCCAAAUUUCAGUUCCCCAAAAGGAUAUUCAGCUGGAGAACUCCUACAAAUGGAUGAUAAAGUCCUGCUUUUUCCCUAGUAAUAAUUGCUUUUCUGAGACCUCAAAUCCUCUCUUAGCCUCAUUACAAAGUUCCCACCAGCAUAAAAUGUAUUUUUAAUUUCCAUUUCCUAUAAUAUUUUGUUUUCCAAAAACAGCACUGACUUUCCCAGAACAAAACAACUCUCCUUCAGUCCCUUUCUAUGUCAUAUUCUCAAUGCAGUAUGAAGAGAUUGGCUCAGCGAUAAGGCUCUGUUCUUUAAAAGAUUAAAAAAAUAUCCAACUGAUACAAAAAAAUAGUUAACUUAAUCUAAGGAAAGAAAAAUUGAACAAUUAAAUAUGAAAAUUCCUUCGGGGAAAGAAAUAAGGGGGGUACAGUGGGGGUGGAAGACAAAGCUGUAAAAAUUCAGACUUUCUUUCUUUCUUUUUUUUUAAAGAGAAUGACUGCUCAACAGCUCCUUUUGGGACACAGUGAGAUGAUUUCCUUAAAAGUAUUGUCUAGAAAUACCCCCAAAUCACACCAAUUAUAAGCCUCUGGAGAAUUUAAGAUGCAGUACAAAAUUAAGAAAUAUCAGAACACAUAAUGAAAACAGUGUUGCAUUUUCUUGUUUAUGUUAAAAACGAUGGAGAGGGCUGAAGUGAAAGGUUUUAUUUUUACUUAAUUACCCUCAGUGUUCACUGGGGACUGCUUAGAAAGGGGAUCUUACGUUUGGACCUAAAUGCAAGCAAGAUUCAGCCUUGAUCUUAUUUCUUCUGGCAAUGUGUUUCUUAAAUUAGAAGUCCCACAACUAGAAUGUUGAUAUUACACCACUGUGUUCCUCCACCACCUGAGAGUCUCUUAUGUAUUACCGAUUUAUUAAUCCAGGAAGCAGUUAGCAUAGGGGAAAAAAAAAAAAAAAGCAAAAGAACAACAUCCCAACAAACAAAGGCAUUGUUUGAAAUGAAAAAAACAAACCAGAAAAUACUACUUUGUAGGUUUGUAGCAUCCUUCAUCCAAGGAUUUAAAUAUAUUUCAAAAUAUGCCAUCUUACAGAAAUUUGAGAAAAACAAACAGAAAAACCAAACCCCCAACUUUUAGGUGUGGUGAAAAUGAUAACACAUUAAUUGAGUGAGCAUCCACCUGUGAUGCAAUUACAAGAGUCUCCUACUGCAGCAUUUCACACAUUCAAUCUACCUUCUGGUUACAGCUUACAAGUUUGUGCUAUGUAGAGGGAACAGCAGAGCUGGUUAAAGAUUUUCUCUUGCUUCACAUACUCUGCAAGCUUCUCAUUAACUCCUACAUUACUUUAAUCAGUGCUGAAGCACACACUUCUUCCAGCAUGCAUCAGGACUUAUCUAGGGGAAGAAAAAAAAAACUCUCACUCAAUGAAAUAUUAUAAUAAACAAGAAUCAGUAAAGAAUAAAGCAUCCUUUUUGUACAGUGACUGCCGAUUUUCAUACAUGAAGGGUUAAAAUGACCUUCACUGAUUCACAAAAGGUAAUAAAAUAGAACUUUAAGGACAAAAAAUGGAGCACUUCAAGAGAUUAUUAUCAAAAGCGACGAUAGAAGACAAAACCUUAUUCUUAAAGCCCAGAUGCUUCUAAAGCGAGAGAUCACGCGUUUAUAAAAAGCACACUGCCAAGCCCUUAUAAUGAAUAAGCAAAACAAGGGGAAUCGGUUCUUUCUCGCACGGCUCAGACGAAA
ensembl:lncRNA